rnacentral:rRNA from 1 species
AGAUUGAACGCUGGCGGCAUGCCUUACACAUGCAAGUCGAGCGGCAGCGCGGGGGCAACCCUGGCGGCGAGCGGCGGACGGGUGAGUAAUACAUCGGAACGUGUCCUUUCGUGGGGGAUAACCAGUCGAAAGACUGGCUAAUACCGCAUGAGAUCUCACGAUGAAAGCGGGGGACCGCAAGGCCUCGCGCGAUUGGAGCGGCCGAUGUCGGAUUAGCUAGUUGGCGGGGUAAAAGCCCACCAAGGCGACGAUCCGUAGCUGGUUUGAGAGAACGACCAGCCACACUGGGACUGAGACACGGCCCAGACUCCUACGGGAGGCAGCAGUGGGGAAUCUUGGACAAUGGGGGCAACCCUGAUCCAGCCAUGCCGCGUGUGUGAAGAAGGCCUUCGGUGUAAAGCACUUCGGCCGAACGAAAUCGCGCGGCUAUUACCCGCGUGGAUGACGGUAACCGGAAGAAGAAGCGACCGGCUAACUACGUGACCAGCAGCCGA